CCCCUGGACAGAAAAAUUUAAGUAACUUGGUUGAAUUUAUGGGUAAAUGGUCUUGGUGGAGAUGAGAGUACGUGAAGUUGUUGAUGUUGGCAUGUUAAAGUGCAGUAAUGGGCAUUUCUCCUCCCAGUUUCCAGUUGGAAAUUGUUUUUGAAGCUAUUGUUUCUUUUACUCAACUGAGCAAAGUGAUUUCUAUCAAUUUGGGGGUUUGUAUGUGAUACUAGAUGCAUGUCUGAUUUGGUAUUAAUAUAGAUCCUUCCAUGAAUUGAAAUUCUUGAAAAAUAGAAAAUUAGGGUUCAUAACAAUUUGAGUUUUUGUUUUCCAAAUCGGUUGACAAAUGUAUAAUUCAUGUUAAAACGUUAAAUGGGAUGUUGAAUCUUGUUAAAAUUGGGUAUUCAUAUAGAUUCAAUUUUAGGGAACUUGAUGUGUUUCGGUUGGUUUACAAAGUAUUGAUAAUGACUUGAGAAUGGGUUUGAUCAAUUCGCCUGGCAUGUGUAAAUUGAAGCAUGAUACUAGAUUUUCUGAUUUUGGGAACUUUUUCUCCAAGUUCCAGAUAGCAAUUGGGGUUUGGUUCCAUGAAAUUUCAGGAAGUGUUUAACAGUUUUAGAUUAGUGGUUCACCGAGAAAGCAGUGAGGGUUAAAUGACUAGAGAAAUUUAGAUCAUAAAUUAGAUAAUAUAUACAUUUUCAGACUAAAAUGUCUAUAUAAAUUUAUAGCUACUGUUUAGCAAUUAAACUUUGAUUUCUAUUUUUGUUUGAUUCAAAAUGAAUUAUGUUAUGAAUUCGGUAGUCCUACAUGUUCCUUGAUCAUAGUAAAUUUCUAAUGUGGUGUUGGUCCGAACGGUCAUGUAUAUAGUGAUUUUUUUAGAAUUGGUAAAUGUAGUAUUGAACAUUUAAGUGUAUUCCGUGUAUGACAAGAUAUAUACAUAUAGCCUUGUCGCGGUGACUAUCGCGGUUAACCUCAUUUAGUGAAGACGGAUACAUCUAAGAAUUAUAUAUAGUAGUUAAUCAUCUGUUAGAUAAUGUACUGAAUGUUAGUGCAAGUAUGUUUUCCAUCAUUUGCAUUAAGGAAUGCACAUAUGUGUUUUAAUAUUACUGCUACCAUUUCUGAGCUAUUAGUUCAUUUUUGUUAAGGCUUAAUAUAUGUUGAAGUACAGGAAACGUAAAUAGCUAUGGAUGUUAUGGAUUUUCCAACAUUAAUUUGUGGAUGUCUAGGACUUUGGGUAGUCUACUAAUUUGAAAUUGCAGACAAGGAGAGUUAUAAAUGGAGCAAGACGCCCAUAAUCUGUUUGUAAAAAGGGCCCCAAAAGAAAAAAAGGGAGAGCCAACGACGGUUGCGGUGAUGAUGUAGGUUUCCCUACGUCAAGUCCAGUGGUGUGGGGUCUUAGAAAAUAAUCGGUUCUUACUACAAUUGGUAGUCGAAGUAGGCUACGAAACCAUCAAUUUCUUUUCUAUAAAAAGAUCAAACAUUGCCUACAGUCCCCAAGUAUCUUGAGAAGCUACACCAUGGUCAGAUUCAUAGCUACACCAUGGUCAAAUUCAUGUCAUUUUGGUAUAUUUUCCGGAACUUUACUAUUGAGUGUGAUGUAUCCAUUGUAUUUAAUCUGCCAUGUUUUGACAGAAUUUAGUUUGCUCGGUUUUGAUACCUCAAAGUUUUGUAAUAAAUCCUUACUUAUCUACUUGAUAGAUUGUGGACUUGAUAUCAUGUAUACUGGGUGUUUAACUCUC